rnacentral:rRNA from 1 species
UACGUAGGUGGCAAGCGUUGUCCGGAUUUACUGGGCGUAAAGGGCGUGCAGGCGGUCUGUUAAGUGCAGGGUGAAAGCUCCCGGCUCAACUGGGAGAGGUCCUUGCAUACUGGCGGACUUGAGGGGGGUAGAGGAAAGUGGAAUUCCCGGUGUAGUGGUGAUAUGCGUAGAGAUCCGGAAGAACACCAGUGGCGAAGGCGGCCCGCUGGGCAGUGGCUGACGCUGAAGCGCGACAGCGUGGGGAGCAAACAGG